rnacentral:misc_RNA from 1 species
UCGUAAAGUCCAAAGAGAGGAAAGAAGACAAAAGACUCAAGAUCAAAUAGAUCGCAUGAAAAAGAAACAGAGAGAGAGUGAACUAUGGAGAAAUAGACGCUCUUAUUUAGCCCCUAUAGCCAUAGGAACCACGUUGCUGAUUGGUGGACUUCUUUUGUAUUAUUACUAUUUUUGACAGAUCUUUUUUUUAUGCAAGAAAACAAAAAUGGCGACAUCUUUUUUAUGUGUACAAGUAUAUUUUAUGUGUUAGAAGUAUAGGAUAUGACCAUGGACAAGUUUUUUUUCAAUCUGAGGUACCUACUGUAUGUAAUCUUGGCUUUGAUGAGUUGAUUGUGCUGGGUAUCUCACCGUAACAUUUUACCACACACACACACACCAUUCACUGCCCUAGUCAUCCACUGCUACUGGGUGGGGGCAAUGGUCCCUGUUAUUUUAGACAUGUUAUAUAUAUAUAUGUAUGUAGAUCACGAUGCCAAACCUCCAAAGGAAUUCUUUGUUGAGAUUAAUAAUGCGUACUGUAUACAGGGUUAUUUUUGCCCAGUGGUUUGGGUUUUUUUUUUUCGCCCUUCUACACUUGCACUUUUUUACCCCAUUUUGAUUUCACCCAUAUACAGAUGUGUGAUAGAUAAGCAGUAAUCUGAAAAUUGUUUUUAAUUCACCCUGCCGUAGAUUCGCCUUCUGAUAAUAUGGGCAAAAGGGUCAAAAAAUAAAACAGGGGCUAAUAUUUCCCUGUAUACAGUGUAUUGUGUAAAUGAUAAGAGUAUUUUUUGUACGAAUUUUUGUUUUUCUUUUUAGUUUUCAAAAGGGACUUAAUUAAUCAUGUCACAUGAAUUACAAGCAUACUAAUGUGUAAGGGUGGUAUGUACUAUAUAUUUUAUCAUUUAUCGCCUAUUCAUUUAUAUUGUUUAGUACUACUAAGUACAUCUACAAGUACAUUAGUAAAGUUAUGAACUUGCCUCAAGACUGUGAAACCAUGACCCACAGAUUUUAUUUUUUCAAGUUAAAUUGAUCAGUUUUAUACUUGAAUGUGCUCAAUUUGAUUCUUUUCUUUUAAAUCUCUGAUAUUUUGAUGGUAAACUUGUUAAAACAUAUUGCAUAUUGAGUAUGGUUUUAUGUUUUAUGGUGCAUGUAAAUACAUGUGUAUGUACCAGGUACAUGUACAUGUUCAACCAUAAAUAAAGAUCAAUCUUUAUGAGACUUUGAUAAAAUCCUUAAAGAUAUUAAGUGUGAAAUUUAAUUGAAUAUUUCAACUUUUUGUGCAACUUUGCAUGGGAAUGGGGAGGGAUUAAACUUUGAUGAAUAUUUUUGUACAUGUACUAAAGCACCAUUUGCUAACCUAGGAAAAAUUCAAAUGCAGUAAACAAAUAUAAACCCACAUGUUCAUAUGUUUUCUCACCUAGUAUUGUGUAUCAAAAUUCAUACCAAUGCUUAAUCAUCAUUGUAUAACACAUAGAAUUUUAUUUAAAUGCUCAGGUGAACAUUAUAGGCCCUUUGCUGGCUUUUCAGUGAAAAAUAAAGAUAAAAUAAUGAAAAAGUUUCAGCAAUUCUGGUUUUGAUAAUAAAAAGAAGGAGAAAAAAGCAUGAUUCUAU